UACGUAGGGGGCGAGCGUUAUCCGGAAUUACUGGGCGUAAAGCGCACGCAGGCGGUUCGCCAAGUUUGGAGUGACAGUUGUCGGCUCAACCGACAAAGGACUUCAAAAACUGGUGAACUUGAGGACGAGAGAGGAACAUGGAACUCCAGGUGUAGUAGUGAAAUGCGCAGAUAUCGGGAAGAACACCCGUGGCGAAGGCGGCACUCUGGGACGGUACUGACGCUGAGACGCGAAAGCGUGGGGAGCGAACAGG
rnacentral:rRNA from 1 species